UACGUUCUCUUUGAACGACUGCCGAUA
rnacentral:piRNA from 1 species